AAGCUCCACGAUGGAAGGGACCUUGUCUGCCUCCUUCACUGCCCUAAAGCCAUCACCUAACAGCGCCUGUCACAUGGGGCCGAGGUUCGCCGGUUCGGAUCCCGGGUGCGGCCAUGGCACCGCUUGGCAAGCCACGCUGUGCUGGGUGGUGGACAUCAGAUCUGAGGAGCGACAGACGUGUACCAAGAAGCUCUCGCAGGAAAUGCUCAUCCCAUGCCCACCAGGAACUCUCAGAACCGCUGACGUCACUGACGAUUUCAGUUCAUUGAGGGGGGCCCCGAGAACUCAUGCAGGAGUCUUGCCCUGGCCUCGCUCCAGCGCAGUCAACUCCACAUCCUCUGAAACCUCACUGUCUUCUGAGGACGCUACCUCCCUUGCAAACUUCACGGGUGGCCGUUUUUUAUCUCACCCCCAAGGAAGGCAUUUGGAGACAUCCAGCGUAUCUUCUCCUUGCCGACCCCAGGUCUUCUGAGCUCAUGCCAUCAGCCCACAGACUAUCCCGCCCCCCCUUAUUUACAGGGCCCAUCUCCCCACCACUACUCCUGUCAUUUUUCUUGGCAAUGAUGCAUCAAAAACCCUGGAUUCUCACUUCUGACCUCCUCACCCCAGCCACCUUUUCACUACUCAACCAGGCACUCCCAUGGCCAUACCCUGUAUCUCGUCAUUACCAAUAUCUAAACUUCCCCCAAACCUCAAUCUCAAGCAUCCUAGAUCCUGACCACCAUGUCCUACUCUCCAGCUUGUUCCCUCUGGUAUCCACGCUCUACGAGCACUUUGACCUCAACAGGACCUCAAAACUACGACACCCACUAUGUUUUCUCUAUCCAUCACCCAUUCUGUGCUCCUUUCACUUAAAUGACAGUCACACCCUUGUAAACAUCCCCCCGCUCCUCUGUUCCUUGUACCAACCCUGCUCAAACCCAGCUUUCACCCAUCAGCUGAGUGCGGUAGAGGAAAGACACAGCAUGCUAACUCGUUUCAGUUUCAAGUUCAUGACUCAUAUCCAGGAUGGGCUCUUGGUGCAGCGUGACAAUCUACCACCACAUGCCACUAAGUCCAUUCUAUCCCCUAUUCUCCUGGGAGAGCGUCUCAUGAAAGCUCUCACGCUUUCCCCUUUCUUGGCUGGUAAGUGCACUGCUUCUUUCACAGAGAAAACAAGGACAGUCAGAGGUCACACCCACAUUCCCCUCCCAGAAUCCCCCUUGAUGGCCCUUCUCCAGAAACCCACACGGCCUUGGUCUCUGCUCAGCUGGCACAUUUUCCGAGGGGCCUCCCCCGGUUACUCUCAAAACAGCAUUCUUGAUGCCCUCAUCCGGCUUCAUCUUUCCUCACUGCACUCCUCACACAUCAUGUACUAAAUGCACUGUCUGUCCCAAGGCCUUCG
rnacentral:lncRNA from 1 species